GGGAUUGAGGGGUAUUAUGUUUAGUCCACAUGAUGUGGGGGAUCACAGGGAGAACAGUGUAGCACAGAGAAGGCAAAUAGUGAACCUGUGGCAUCUUACUACACUGAUGGACAGUGACUGCAAUGGGGUAUGGGUGGGGACUUGAUAAUAUGGUUAAAUGUAGUAACCACAUUGUUUUUUCAUGUGAAACCUUCAUAAGAGUGUAUAUCAAUAAUACCUUUAUUUAAAAAAAGACUGUUAAUGUAGGCUUCUUAGCUUUCUUAAUAUUGGGUGACAUCUUGUUAAAAAAAACAUUUUUUUGAGUAGACUUUCAAAUAUCCCAUCCCUAGUUGUGAUUGAUUACAAAUUCUUUCCUCCCUGCAUGCCUAUCCUUUGUGAUUUUGCAGCUUGUUCUAUCAAGAGGGGGUCUAUUUCCCCACCCCUCAAAUCUGGGUUUGGCUUUGACUAAUGUGACAUUAGAAAACAUGAUACAAGAAGAGACCUGAAGAGUGCCUGUGCGUUGGGACUUGCCAUCUCUUGCUGCUCUUGGGAACCUUGUGACCAUCACCACGUGGAAAACCAGAAGCCUAUCAAUUGCUUAUUGCUGCAUGAAGACUUGUCCUGUAUUGACCCUCUAAGGACACAAAUGAGCCACAUGCUCAAAGGAAGAGAAUAGAAGUCCUGAUCAUAGGAGAGUGAAACUGUUACCUCAUAGGGCCUCAGCACUAACCUCCUUCAAGCCUGCAGAUGGCUGGUGAGUAGAUCCUUUUGGAUCAAUGCAAAAAUUUACCUCUCGUUGAAGAGCUGAGAAUAUUCCAUCCUCCGCUGCUUAUGGAACACCUCACAAGGCAUUUACCUGCUCCCUGUCAAUGAAGUUUGUAUUCUUUGUUC